UACGUAGGGUCCGAGCGUUGUCCGGAUUUAUUGGGCGUAAAGGGCGCGUAGGCGGUGCGGUAAGUCACCUGUGAAAUCUCCUGGCUCAACUGGGAGCUUGCAGGCGAAACUGCCGUGCUGGAGUGUGGGAGAGGUGCGUGGAAUUCCUGGUGUAGCGGUGAAAUGCGUAGAUAUCAGGAGGAACACCUGUGGCGAAAGCGGCGCACUGGACCACAACUGACGCUGAGGCGCGAAAGCUAGGGAGCGAACAGG
rnacentral:rRNA from 1 species